CCACGGCACCCGGCCUUAGCAUGUAGUUUUUAAACUACCCAUAAUUGUAAAUUUUGUACAUUGAAAGACCCAUAAUUGCCACAAAUAAUCACAAUUAUGCAAGUAUAAAUAAUCACCCUGCACAACUCUCCUCUUGCCCACAAAGUUAUCCCUUUCAUGAGAAUUUAAUAUGUGACAAUGGCCAUUGUCUGCCAGGGAAAGCUCAUACCGAUUUCAGUUUCAGCAAGGCCACCUCGAGUCUCAUAGAAACCAGAAAAAAAAAAUGUCAUUUUCAGGAAGCAAAUUGAUCGUUUUCCUCACAUUUCCAUUUGCGUUAAGAUCAUGGUGUGGCCUUGCUCUGGACUUUUUCCUAUUCCCUGUUGCCUCUGGAGAGGAGGAAAGCUAAGGAUGGCUGGUGGGCCCACAUCGGGGGUCCCUGGGUGGAUUGAAGGGCUCUUGUGGCUCCUGGAAGCCUCGCCCAAGUUUCUGGUAAGAAAUCAAAAGGUGAGGUGGUGUCCCCUGUUCCCCUGUGGGAUGAUCAGCCCACAAAAGUGGGACAAAUGAGUCUAUAAAAUGCUUCAGAGGGGCAGGUGGACUGCUCACUCGUGAGUCCCGGGAAACAGGCCUGGCCCAGUUCUCCAAAC
rnacentral:lncRNA from 1 species